UACAGAUUCAGCCCGGGCACCAUGA
rnacentral:misc_RNA from 1 species